UACGUAGGGCGCAAGCGUUAUUCGGAAUUAUUGGGCGUAAAGAGCUCGUAGGCGGUUUGUCGCGUCUGCUGUGAAAGUCCGGGGCUCAACUCCGGAUCUGCGGUGGGUACGGGCAGACUAGAGUGAUGUAGGGGAGACUGGAAUUCCUGGUGUAGCGGUGAAAUGCGCAGAUAUCAGGAGGAACACCGAUGGCGAAGGCAGGUCUCUGGGCAUUAACUGACGCUGAGGAGCGAAAGCAUGGGGAGCGAACAGG
rnacentral:rRNA from 1 species